rnacentral:lncRNA from 10 species
GUAAUAUCUUGAGCAGUAAAACUAGAAAGAGAUUUUUUCCUAAUAGGUGAAAUUUAGCUGUCUUUCGGACAGUGGAUAUGGAAAUAUCAUUUAUGAUUAUUUCAGAUGGGAGAUAUUCUUGGUCCUGGUGAAUUCCAUAGCAGGAAUUUAAAACAGGACUCUUUGUUGUGUCUGCUUGGAUCACUUACAGCCCUUGGUACCUGCCUCUUUGGAAGGCACCUCCGGUCACAUCAGGAGCAUGGAUGGGGCCCCACCUGCAUACACAUGGAUUGAAGCCACCUUGCCCAGAAGUCACUGGGAGUUAUGCCUCCUCCCUAAGGAUGGCCCACAGCCAGUGCCUCAUUGGAGCAAGAGGUACAGAAGCCCUGCUCCCUCAUCUGAAGAUGGGGCAGGCUCCGCAGUGCAAUCCAUGCACCCGAGCUCCCAUGGCAUCAGACUGACAUUGCUGGAAGCCACAGUCUUCCUCAGCUUCUCCUUCCCUGUCCUGCUUCCCUCACUCCCUUAUGGUUUUCUCCUGAGGGCACUCCCUUAAUAAAUCACUUGCGUCAAGAAUCCACAUCAUGGGCUCUGCUUCUAGGGAAACUGGCAGUUCACAAUCUUAGAAUAUAUUAUAUAUUUAGUUCCUCUUUGGGGGUAAUAACUUUACCUGCCUGAGGGCAGAAGUAUUUAUAUUUCCUCUAAUAUUUAGCACAGGGCUUUGCACAUGAUAGGGGUUUGUUAACUUCUAGGAAUAAAGUAAUUUGAAUAAACUUGAGCUGAUCUUUAAAAAUAGGCAAAAACCAAACAUCAUACCUUAUCAGCCUGGUUAAAUAGGAGGAUUGGCCGGGUGCAGUGGCUCACGCCUAUAAUCUCAGCACUUUGGGAGGCC